rnacentral:tmRNA from 1 species
GGGGAUGAAAGGUUUCGACAGGGAAGGCUGGUCGACGAUAGCAAGCCGAGGUGCUCCGCCUCGUUAAACAGGGGCAACCUAAACCUAAACGGCGAGCAUCAACUCGCACUGGCUGCUUAGGCAGUCACGCUCCCCCGGCUUCUCUCUGGUGGGCCGGGACCGAGCGCCAUAAAGCCGGAGUGCGACAGCCCGUACGCCGAUAGGGGCUGUCAAAGGGGGGAAACCCCGUAUCGGCUGGCUUCCAGGGGACUCGGUCGGCAUGAGGCUCCUGGCGGCGAGAAACAAAGAGCCGACUAAGCUUGUAGAGAUCCUCGGUCCAAUUCUCUGGACGCGGGUUCGAUUCCCGCCAUCUCCACCU